rnacentral:rRNA from 1 species
AGAGUUUGAUCCUGGCUCAGGAUGAACGCUAGCGGCAGGCUUAAUACAUGCAAGUCGAACGGUAACAGGCCCAGCAAUGGGUGCUGACGAGUGGCGCACGGGUGCGUAACACGUAUGCAAUCUACCCUUUACAGAGGCAUAACCCUGAGAAAUCGGGGCUAAUACCUCAUAGUAUCAUUUGAUGGCAUCAUCAGAUGAUUAAAGCUUCGGCGGUAAAGGAUGAGCAUGCGCCCCAUUAGUUAGUUGGUAAGGUAACGGCUUACCAAGGCGAUGAUGGGUAGGGGUCCUGAGAGGGUUAUCCCCCACACUGGUACUGAGACACGGACCAGACUCCUACGGGAGGCAGCAGUAAGGAAUAUUGGGCAAUGGGCGAGAGCCUGACCCAGCCAUGCCGCGUGCAGGAAGACGGCCCUAUGGGUUGUAAACUGCUUUUAUACGGGAAUAAUAACAGCUACGUGUAGCUGUAUGCAGGUACCGUACGAAUAAGCAUCGGCUAACUCCCGUGCCAGCAGCCGCGGUAAUACGGAGGAUGCGAGCGUUAUCCGGGAAUCAUUGGGUUUAAAGGGUGCGUAGGCGGACUAAUAAGUCAGUGGUGAAAUAUCCCGGCUCAACCGGGAGGCUGCCAUUGAUACUGUUAGUCUUGAGUGUAAGCGAAGUGGGCGGAAUGUGUCAUGUAGCGGUGAAAUGCAUAGAGAUGACACAGAACACCGAUAGCGAAGGCAGCUCACUAGUAUACAACUGACGCUGAGGCACGAAAGCGUGGGGAGCAAACAGGAUUAGAUACCCUGGUAGUCCACGCCGUAAACGAUGAUCACUAGCUGUAGGCGAUACACUGUCUGUGGCUAAGCGAAAGCGAUAAGUGAUCCACCUGGGGAGUACGUCGGCAACGAUGAAACUCAAAGGAAUUGACGGGGGCCCGCACAAGCGGAGGAGCAUGUGGUUUAAUUCGAUGAUACGCGAGGAACCUUACCUGGGCUUGAACGUAUAGUGCAUGAGGGUGAAAGCUCUCUUUCCCGCAAGGUACUUUAUACGAGGCGCUGCAUGGCUGUCGUCAGCUCGUGCCGUGAGGUGUUAGGUUAAGUCCUGCAACGAGCGCAACCCCUAUUUCUAGUUGCCAGCACAUAAUGGUGGGGACUCUAGAGAGACUGCCUGCGCAAGCAGAGAGGAAGGUGGGGAUGACGUCAAGUCAGCACGGCCCUUACGUCCAGGGCUACACACGUGCUACAAUGGCCGGUACAGAGGGCAGCCACCCCGCGAGGGGGCGCUAAUCUCCAAAGCCGGUCUCAGUUCGGAUCGGAGUCUGCAACUCGACUCCGUGAAGUUGGAUUCGCUAGUAAUCGGAUAUCAGCAAUGAUCCGGUGAAUACGUUCCCGGGCCUUGUACACACCGCCCGUCAAGCCAUGGAAGUCAGGGGUACCUGAAGUCGAUCACCGCAAGGAGUCGCCUAGGGUAAAACUGAUAACUGGGGCUAAGUCGUAACAAGGUAACC